rnacentral:lncRNA from 1 species
UACAUAGAUUUAGUUCUUUGCGAUCCAAUAUAUUCAGGAAAGAACAGUUUUAGUUCCAUAGAGAAGGAAUAAAAAAAUUCGACCAAGAUACCAUCAGCCUGCUUAUGCGAUCAACAUACAAUUACUGGAUUUCAACUUAAACAAAUUCUUUGGAGAUGAUGUGCUAGCUAUAAAGGGAAUGACAUUUGAGAUGGUAUACUGAGUCAAUCGAACAACAAAAAGGAAGAACAAAAUUGCUGUAUUACAUAUUUACAUGCAGUCACGUUGGGCACAAACUGAAAAAUGAGUUCGCGAUAAGAUAACAUAAGCCUGUCGUAGUUAAACAUAACAGAGAUGCACAAAGAAGCUCUUCGCAGUUCACCGGAUGAAAUAGUUGGGUGUUCUGGAUAGGUGGACUCCCGGUUGUGCCCAGCUGCGGCAACUGCCACACCCCACUGCCACCGGACGGCGCCCCCAUCCAGGAGUACACAAGUUGCCCCACGCCAACCGAGGUCUUUCAAAUCUUCUCUAUCAUUGUCAUCACAAAAGGACUUUCAUCAGUGGCUCGCUGACAAUCUCCCGCAAACCCUACAAGAGAUUCAAGGAAGUUUAAACUUCCAUUUUGCACAUGUGCAAUUGAGUCACUCACCUUCCUAGAUUAGGUCAGAUCUAUUAUCCAUAAUUUAAAUUUGCAGUCAACGCACCCUACCGUAGAUCCCAACAUGUAUGUGCUCACAUCACCAUCAUAUGUACAUUUUCUCCUACUCCACCUAUUAGCUAUGCCUACGGCUACCCCACCAUUGAUGUCUCCUCUACCUAAUUGAGCAUCAUCCCGAGUAGCAUCACUCAUCGUUACAUCCUAAUCGAGCAUAAUUUUUUGCAAGAAUCAUUUUCUUUUACGCGGAACAAUCUAUUAUCCAUUGGACAAUUUAAAAUGAAUGUACACAUUCUGCUUUACCGAAACUCAAAACUAUCAUGAGUGAAUAUUCUUGCAGAAUGAAAUUGAUUUCUUAUAAUAAUACACUUACAAUGGUGUGUACUAGAUAAAAAUGAUUAAAAGGAAGCAUUUCCCAGUGGUAACCGUAAAAUAAACACUGCAAAUCAAGCGAUAGAAAUUUCAGAUUUAUUGAAGCCUGGCACUUGAAAGAUUAUUUUUAUGUUUUCCUAAAAUAAGUCUCCCAUGAACACAUUGCACGAAUGAGCAGGAAGACAGAGUGCAAACUUAUAUGUACACUAACUUGUCCCUUCAUCCAUUUUGAAUAGACCAGCUACAAAAGCUCACUUGGUUCAUUCUCACCAGAAUUCACUGACAUGAUAAUCAACCAUGUCCUGCAGUGUCCCCAAAAAGGUAGAUAGUCUAGAAGUUGAACUAAUCAAGUUUCAAAGAAAAUGUAUUUUACUUUUUACAUAAAUGAAAAUAGUAGCGACAGCUAAAGUAUCUCAAGGGAAUGUGAAGAUGGCAGUAAACACAGGAAACAAACCCGAAAACAAAGUGAAGCCUUCAUCUUAUAUGCCAAUCGAUGCUCAUAGCGUCAACAUGAUACUGUAUGAAAUGACAGAGAAAUUAUUCAUACAGACCUAAAAUAUUUCGUCUACAUACAGGCCACAACACCAACAUAUUGGGUGUAUACAACUUAGUAGAAAAGGGUGGCGUGGCCUACUGGAAACAAAGACAUGCAAUAAGGAAAUAUAGAAGCAAUAAUAGUAGAUGUGGUAGAAACAGUAUUGGUGUUAAUCAGCUCAAAACUCCCACACCUGGCGCGUCCAACCUGACAAUUAAGUGCACACAAAAAUGGUUUCGCUAUCCCAUAAAUAAGACCAACAAAAUUUAGCAUCUUUACGGGAAAAUACACCUAUAUAUAUUUCUUGGAUUUCCUACAAAGAAAAUCAUGGGAAGUGCCUAAAAGAAGGUUAACAUAGAGCUAACAAAUACGUACAAACCAGACAAUAAAUGCAUAGCGUCUGGGGAACGAAACCACUACCAGAUACAUGGUAUCGCAUGAGUGACUGCCCUUCCUCUAGCCUGCAACAUCUAGGAGCUGCAUAUAUGCUUUCAGGUUUGUGCUAAGUCUGCAAAUUCAGAAUAUGCCCAAAGACAAUGUACAUAGAUUUAGUUCUUUGCGAUCCAAUAUAUUCAGGAAAGAACAGUUUUAGUUCCAUAGAGAAGGAAUAAAAAAAUUCGACCAAGAUACCAUCAGCCUGCUUAUGUGAUCAACAUAUAAUUACUGGAUUUCAACUUAAAUAAAUUCUUUGGAGAUGAUGUGCUAGCUAUAAAGGGAAUGACAUUUGAGAUGGUAUACUGAGUCAAUCGAACAACAAAAAGGAAGAACAAAAUUGUUGUAUUACAUAUUUACAUGCAGUCACGUUGGGCACAAACUGAAAAAUGAGUUCGCGAUAAGAUAACAUAAGCCUGUCGUAGUUAAACAUAACGGAGAUGCACACAGAAGCUCUUCGCAGUUCACCGGAUGAAAUAGUUGGGUGUUCUGGAUAGGUGGACUCCCGGUUGUGCCCAGCUGCGGCAACUGCCACACCCCACUGCCACCGGACGGCGCCCCCAUCCAGGAGUACACAAGUUGCCCCACGCCAACCGAG